rnacentral:lncRNA from 1 species
GUCCCACAGUCUGGCUUUACCUGGUGUUUCCUCAUCAUCGGAUUCAGGUUUUGUAUCAUUAAGCCAGAAUAUCACAAAGUGAUACUGUGUAUGUGUCAUCAUCUGGCACAAGAUUUCACUUUCUUUCAUCACUGGAGAUGUUGAUUUUGAUUACUUGACUGAAGUGGUAUCUGCCAGAUGUCUCCACUAUAAAGUUACUUCACUUCUUCUUUUGUAAUUAAUGAGUACAGAGGUUCCUCCGAAUCCAUGGGGGAUUGGUUCCAGGGCCCCACACAGAUACCAAAUUCUGCAGAUGCUCAAGUCCCUUCUAUGAGGUGGGGAAGUAUUUGCAUCGAUCCUACGCACAUCCUCCUCCACACUUUAAGUUAUCUUUGAUGACUUACCAUCCCUAAUACAAUGGAAGCGCAAUGUAAACAGUUGUCAUAGUCUAUUGUUUAGGGAAUAAUGAUGAAAAGAAAACUGUACAUGUCAGGUACAGACACAAUUCUUUUUAUGAAUUUUUUUUUUGAGACAGGGAUCUUGCUAUGUUGUCCAGGCUGACCUCAAACUCCAGGCCCAAGUGAUCCUCCUCCUCAGGCUCCUGAGUAGCCUGGACUACAGGCCUGUGCCCC